GAUGAAGAACACAGCGAAAUGCGAUAAGUAAUGUGAAUUGCAGAAUUCAGUGAAUCAUCGAAUCUUUGAACGCACCUUGCACUCCUUGGUAUUCCGAGGAGUACGCCUGUUCGAGUGUUAUGAAGCUCUCAAAACGCAAUUGGCUUAAAACCUGAUUGUUGUUUUGGAUUUGAACUUUGCCGUGUUAUAACGGCUGGUUUUAAAAGUAUUAGCUGGUACUAGAACGAAUUGGUUCUACUCAACGUGAUAAUUAUCUGAUCGUUGAGGACAUUCCUUUCACGAGGAAUGGCCAUAGUAAAUUCAAUGGACUGCUUCUAAUCUGGCUUUAAUUCUUUAUUGGAUUAACCACUUUUCAAAUCUGACCUCGAAUCAGGUGGGACUACCCGCUGAACUUAAGCAUAUCAAUAAGCGGAGGA
rnacentral:misc_RNA from 1 species